UUAUAAGUGUACGGGAAAAAAAAACAGGUGCCCCGCGAUUUUUCAGGCCCUGGUUUGAUCUCACUUCGGGAAGUAAUAAUACGUGAAGCAACACUCGACGCGCGGCCGCAGCUCACCUAUCCGACACGUCUCCUCCACUCUCUCUCCCUCUUCCUCUCCCUCUCUCUCUCUCUCUACAAGAAGAUCUCUCUCUCUUCUCAGCGACACAGCAAGAAGAGUGGAACGGAACCCCAGAGCUGAAGGCUGAAGCUAUGGCGUCGUCCCUCAGCACCACCUCCCUCUCCACGCACUCGCCGGCNN
rnacentral:lncRNA from 1 species